rnacentral:rRNA from 1 species
GUGAGGAAUAUUGGUCAAUGGGCGGGAGCCUGAACCAGCCAAGUCGCGUGAAGGAAGAAGGAUCUAUGGUUCGUAAACUUCUUUUGCAGGGGAAUAAAGUGCGGGACGUGUCCUGUUUUGUAUGUACCCUGAGAAUAAGGAUCGGCUAACUCCGUGCCAGCAGCCGCGGUAAUACGGAGGAUCCGAGCGUUAUCCGGAUUUAUUGGGUUUAAAGGGUGCGUAGGUGGUUUGAUAAGUCAGCGGUGAAAGUUUGCAGCUUAACUGUAAAAAUGCCGUUGAAACUGUCGGACUUGAGUGUAAAUGAGGUAGGCGGAAUGCGUGGUGUAGCGGUGAAAUGCAUAGAUAUCACGCAGAACUCCGAUUGCGAAGGCAGCUUACUAAGCUACAACUGACACUGAAGCACGAAAGCGUGGGGAUCAAACAGGAUUAGAUACCCGGUAGUCC